UGCUUCGGGAACGCAAUCACAGGUGCUGCAUGGCUGUCGUCAGCUCGUGUCGUAGAGUGUUGGGUUAAGUCCCGCAACAGCGCAACCCUGUCCUUAGUUGCCAUAUUUAGUUGGCACUCUAAGGAGACUGCCGGUGACAAACGGAGGAAGGUGGGACGACGUCAAGUCAUCAUGGCCCUUAUGACCAGGGCUACACACGUGCUACAAUGGCCGGUACAAAGGGCUGCUAAGCUCGCGAGAGUGUGCGAAUCCCAGAAAACGUUUCGUAGUCCGGAUCGAAGUCUGCAACUCGACUUCGUGAAGUCGGAAUCGCUAGUAAUCGCGAAUCAGCAUGUCGCGGUGAAUACGUUCCCGGGCCUU
rnacentral:rRNA from 1 species